rnacentral:rRNA from 1 species
GAGACAGCAGUCGCCGCGGGAAUACAGAGGGUGCGAGCGUUAAUCGGAUUUACUGGGCGUAAAGCGUGCGUAGGCGGCUAAUUGAGUCGGAUGUGAAAUCCCCGAGCUUAACUUGGGAAUUGCAUUUGAUACUGGUUAGCUAGAGUGUGGGAGAGGAUGGUAGAAUUCCAGGUGUAGCGGUGAAAUGCGUAGAGAUCUGGAGGAAUACCGAUGGCGAAGGCAGCCAUCUGGCCUAACACUGACGCUGAGGUACGAAAGCAUGGGGAGCAAACAGGAUUAGAUACCCGUGUAGUCCCUGUCUCUUAUAC